CUCAUAGACUUCCUGUUGCGUGGUCUUAAGCCAUGCAGAGGCCUAAUUAAUUACCCAGAUGCUGGUACAGUGGGAAAUAGGGAGAGGAGGGAGGAGCAAGGUAGUUCUUAUCUGCAUUAUCUGAUCAUAAACCUGAGGACUGACCCAUCUUUCAUCUGCCCGUGUGGUGAUUAGCUUGGGUGACCAAAGCACUCCUACUCUGUAUGAAUAGGAGCAGCACGGCAUAGCGACUGAUUAUGUGAACCAUCUCUAUUUCCCCUCAUUACAUUCUUGCCUUUAUCACCUUAUCAUAUCCAUAUGGCAAAGGAAAGAGGCUGAGAGCUCAAUAUCGGAGUCCAGAAGCACAGUAGGAUGUUCUUGGAAAUCAACUCCAAGACUUCAGGGACAACACAUGGCACCAGACAAAUACAAAGAAUCCACCCUUGAUUCGUCUAGUUGAGGAAGUAAUCAUGGGGAUUGAAGCCAGCUGGGCACCAUGAGGUUAGAAGUACUGGGAACAGUGAUAUUUAAAAACAUUCUUCUGGGAAGGCGUCCAUAGAAUUUACUGGACUGCCAGAGAGAUUGAUGUCACAAGCAAGGAAUAGAACAGCAAAGUUGGAAGAUUCAUACUUCCUAACUUCAAAACUUACUGCAAAGCUACAGUAGUCAAGAGAGUGUGAUGCUCGAAUAAGGAGAGACAUAAAUUAAUGGGUAUGAUUUAGAGUCUAGAAACAAGCUCUUAUGUUUGCUGUCAACUGAUUUUCAACAAGGGUGCCAAAAUAAUGUAAUGGGGAAAGUAUGGCUAUUUUAACAAAUAAUGCUGGGGUAACUGCAUAUCCAUAUACAAAAAAAAAAAAAGAAAGAAAAUGGAGUUGGACCACUUGUCCUGCCACACACAAAAAUUAACUGAAUCAUAGACUGAAUGGAUCUUAGACCUAAACAAGAGCUUAAGCUAUAAAAUUGUUAUAAGAAAACACGGACUAAAUCUUCAUGACUUUGGGUUAGAUGACUUUAAAUAUAACACCAACAGCACAAGUGACAAAACAAAAGUAAAUUAGAUUUCACCAAAAUUAAAAACUUCUAUGCUGCAAGUGAUGCCAUGAAGAAAGUUAAAAAGGCAACCCACAGAAUAGAAGAAAGUACUUGCAAGUCACAUAUCGGGUAAGGGAUGAGCCUCCAAAUACAGGAAGAACUCUUACAACUCAGUAUCAAAAAGACAACUCAACUAAAAAAUGGGCAAAAGAUUUGGAUAGAUUAUUUCUCCAAAGAUGGUACCUUCAUGACGGAGAAGCACUUGAGAAGAUGCUCAACAUCACUAGCCAUAGGAAAAUGCAAAUCAAAAUCACAAUAAGAUACCAUUUCAUGUGAGGAUGGCUACAAUUAAAAUGACAAGAGAGUAGCAGAUGUCAGCGAGAGUGAGGAGAAAUUGGAGCCCUUGUACCUUGCUGAUUGAGAAUGUAAAAUAGUGCAGCCACUUUGGAAAAACAGUUUGGCAGUUCUUCAAAGUACAAAGCAUAGAGUCAUCACGUGAUCUAGCAAUUCCACUUCUAGAUAUGUGCCCAAGAUAAAUAAAAGCAUAUGUCUACACAAAAACUUGUACACAGGUAUUCGUAGCCAUAUUAUUCAUAAGAAUCCCAAAGUGGAAAAAACCCAUCAGCUUGUGAGUAAACAAAAGUGACACACUCUUACAAUAGAUGCCACAAUACAAGGGAAUGAAGUAUUGAUGCAUGUCACAACUUAAAGCAGUAUAUGGUGUUAAAGAAUUCAGCCACACAUGUGUUGUAUAAUUCCACACGUAGCAAAGACAAAGUAGAUUAAGGAGUAAAAUGGGAGUGACUUCAAAUGGGCACA